GACGAACGCUGGCGGCGUGCCUAAUACAUGCAAGUAGAACGCUGAAGGAAGGAGCUUGCUCUUUCCGGAUGAGUUGCGAACGGGUGAGUAACGCGUAGGUAACCUGCCUGGUAGCGGGGGAUAACUAUUGGAAACGAUAGCUAAUACCGCGUAACAGUAGAUAUCGCAUGAUAGCUGCUUGAAAGGUGCAAAUGCACCACUACCAGAUGGACCUGCGUUGUAUUAGCUAGUUGGUGAGGUAACGGCUCACCAAGGCAACGAUACAUAGCCGACCUGAGAGGGUGAUCGGCCACACUGGGACUGAGACACGGCCCGGACUCCUACGGGAGGCAGCAGUAGGGAAUCUUCGGCAAUGGACGGAAGUCUGACCGAGCAACGCCGCGUGAGUGAAGAAGGUUUUCGGAUCGUAAAGCUCUGUUGUAAGAGAAGAACGAGUGUGAGAGUGGAAAGUUCACACU
rnacentral:rRNA from 1 species